rnacentral:sRNA from 1 species
UUGGAUUUGGGACAAGAUGGAAAAACAGCAAUACAAAUCUGAAGUCCAUAAAGCUUCAUUAAUAAUUGAUUUGUUUGGGAAUGAGCAUGAUAAUUUUACAAAAAAUCUUGAAAAUCUCAUGUCUACCAUUCAAGAGAGUUACUGUUCCAACUGGCGAUGCCCAACUCGAGUGCAGGAGGAUCAACAGCGCACAAUUAAUAUAAAUCCUCCCCAAGAAAUUCCACAUGGAAACUUGAUAAGACUGGCUGUGAAUGAGUUAUUCUGUUCCAAGAUUGAACUGUGUGAAGAGCAUGGGUACAAUAAAACCUUGGUUAACCGGAACCCAGCUAAUCGGGACCCUCAGUUAUCUGGAUUUUUUUCUGCACUCUCCAUUUAGGAAAAAGAGGUGUGGUGGCUUAAGAGAAUUUUCCCAACGAGUUUUCUGCCAUGGGGCACCCCCUUUUGUUGUCUUAAAUAUGCAACAUUGGAAAUCUGAAGAUCUGGCAUAUGUACCCUAUUACUUGGAUUUGUCUGAUCACAA